UACGUAGGGGGCGAGCGUUGUCCGGAUUUAUUGGGCGUAAAGAGCUCGUAGGCGGUUUGGCAAGUCGGGUGUGAAAACUCCGGGCUCAACUCGGAGACGCCACUCGAUACUGCUAUGACUCGAGUCCGGUAGGGGAGUGCGGAAUUCCUGGUGUAGCGGUGAAAUGCGCAGAUAUCAGGAGGAACACCGGUGGCGAAGGCGGAUCUCUGGGCCGUAACUGACGCUGAGGAGCGAAAGCAUGGGGAGCGAACAGG
rnacentral:rRNA from 1 species